GGAGGAAGAAACCAGUUCUUCUUCUAGCCGACUACAGUUUCCUUUCACAGUCCGUGUAGGAGGUGGUGUCGUCAUGUCUGUGGCAGUGUCUGUCAUCCAUCGUUAUCUACACGAAUACUUGUCAUGAGUGAAGAGAACUACCCGCAGCCGCAACUUAGGAGACCUUGUUUCUUGACCUCCUACUGAAAGCAACGAAUGUGAAGCAGUACGUUUAUUGACAGUGCAGUACUAUCGAGGUUAUUAUGCUGAUCCUUUUACUUUCAAUAUCUGGUCUUCAGGGUAGCUGAAGCAUGUUACUACGCUGUACUACUUGUUGACGGGGUGGUAAAAUGAAAAUAUUUGAUUUUUAGAUACUGUAAAACAACUUAUAGUUUUCAAUAAAUGUAUCAAAAUUAAAUCUCUUGCUGGUUAUGAGAAUAUAGAAUUAAUUAUAGAAUGAAUUAAAUACUACUGUAAAUAAUAUAUACUUUAGAGUAAAAUUUCUAUACAUGUUCAA